AACAGCAUUGAUUGAUAGCUGUGACGGCUACCAACACCAUCACAUUAUAUUUAUCGCUAUGUCUGUUUAUAUCUCUGUCCGUCAGUCUAAAUAAGACUUGAAGUCUGUUGUCAUACGACCAUGACAUCCGUGGUAUAUGUAUAUUACAGACACUUCGCUUCGUAAAAAAAUCGCUUACAGGGCAGUUUUUAUAAGGAGGCUCAUGGGCCAGGAAGACGGGCAUGGACUAUAAUGCUUAUCAUAAAUCAUAUGUACAUACAUAUAUACAUAUAUUUUAUCAAGCUAGAAACACUUUCUUCUGGAUUUACGCACAUUUAAUACAUAUACAUAUGUACCCCUGUAAGGGCUCGCGCACACUAUAGCUGAAAGCGGAGCUGAAAUCGGAGCUGAUAGCUGAUUUAUAAGCUCUGAAAAAAAAAACACACUGCACCGGUGCAAGUGCGCACAUUGCAGACUGAGCUGAGCUGAAAGCUGGAAAAGCUCGCUGAAAUCAGCUCAGCUUAGUUUGAUCGACCAAGCAUGUUUGUUUUUUCAGCAAGCUGAUUGCUGAUUUUGUUCAAGUGUAUUGGUUCAUAAGUGAUCGUAAAUGGGCUGCGAAACAUUGUUAAGCGAAAUUAUGGUUAACCCAGCGCUGGGGAAUAAGCGGGAUUAUUAAAAAUAUUUGAAUAAUAGUUUUAUUUCUAUAAUUUCUGGAAGGCGAUAAAUUGGGCAAAAAAGUUUUAUUAUUACCAUUUUCAUAUGUCAAUAAUAAAUAUAAUAUACUAUGUCCCCAA